rfam:Ovis aries breed Texel chromosome 1, whole genome shotgun sequence.
UCCCACAUAGCUCAGUUGGUAAAGCAUCUGCCUGCAAUGCAGGAGACCUGGGUUCAACUCCUGAGUCGGGAA